CCUGAGACCCGAAGAUGCCUCCUCCUUCUCCAUGAUCUAUUUAAGGUGAUUUCUAAUUGCAUGCAUACCAGGUUUUCAGGGAAGUCGUCACCACUUCUUUUCGAGCCCGAAAUCGAAAAGACCGCUAGACAGAACUUAUUGAUUCGUUCAGCUGUGCGAGGAAAAGCAUCGGUUUUAGCAAUGAAUCCUCAAGAAAACCAAUCGACUCUGAAUCAGCAAACACCCAUAACAAGACCCACUUCCUGAGAUGCCACCAAUGCCACCACCCCAUUUCACAACUGAAACCCAAACCCAAACCCAAACCGAAACUCAAACUCCACAAACUCCAACCAUAGCACCGCAAUCGAACACAACAACUCAACCAAUACAUGCUCUAACUGGAGAUUUUCACGUGAUUGGUUUA
rnacentral:lncRNA from 1 species